rnacentral:rRNA from 1 species
UAACACAUGCAAGUCGACGAUUCUCUUCGGAGAAGAGCGGCGGACGGGUGAGUAACGCGUGGGUAACCUGCCCUGUACACACGGAUAACAUACCGAAAGGUAUGCUAAUACGAGAUAAUAUGCUUUUAUCGCAUGGUAGAAGUAUCAAAGCUCCGGCGGUACAGGAUGGACCCGCGUCUGAUUAGCUAGUUGGUAAGGUAACGGCUUACCAAGGCGACGAUCAGUAGCCGACCUGAGAGGGUGAUCGGCCACAUUGGAACUGAGACACGGUCCAAACUCCUACGGGAGGCAGCAGUGGGGAAUAUUGCACAAUGGGCGAAAGCCUGAUGCAGCAACGCCGCGUGAGCGAUGAAGGCCUUCGGGUCGUAAAGCUCUGUCCUCAAGGAAGAUAAUGACGGUACUUGAGGAGGAAGCCCCGGCUAACUACGUGCCAGCAGCCGCGGUAAUACGUAGGGGGCUAGCGUUAUCCGGAAUUACUGGGCGUAAAGGGUGCGUAGGUGGUUUCUUAAGUCAGAGGUGAAAGGCUACGGCUCAACCGUAGUAAGCCUUUGAAACUGGGAAACUUGAGUGCAGGAGAGGAGAGUGGAAUUCCUAGUGUAGCGGCGAAAUGCGUAGAUAUUAGGAGGAACACCAGUUGCGAAGGCGGCUCUCUGGACUGUAACUGACAC